CCCCCGCGCUGCUUGCGGCGGGCACGGCGCGGAGGGACGGAUACCCGGGCCGCCCCGUCCCUUUCAGCCAACUUCAUGUGGAAAAGCGACACCUGGCGCUGGUUGUUCAAAGACCCCCGCACCGGGAGGGGAAGCGGGCAGGGAGAGCCAAGAGGACAGAGAUGCAACUGGACCUGGAGGCAGCGCGGAGGGCUGCAACAGGAUCCGCAGCAGCGGAAGCGACAGCGACAGUGAAUGAACUGAGAAUAUAAACCUCAAAUCGGUGCCUGGACUAAAGGACUGCGAUUGGGAACUACAAGAAUGCUUUGAAAAUGCUGAACUAAGGAUAUAAGAAAGAUGGGGAACAGCUCACAGCGCACAUGCUUCAAGAGUGAGAAAUCUCUCUGACACCAACUGCUGCUGUGCCCCAGCUAUCUCAAAAAGCUGGAAGAAACAGACUGUCUCUCUCGUCACCUGUUUGGUCAGAAAUCAUCACCUUAUAGGUUUUGCUAUUUUCCCUGCAGGGCCAUGCACCAAAGGGAAAAGAACCCCAGGAAGUACCCUCCACAGUGGAAUGGCAGAAGAUUCCCUCCAGAGCCACGGCUGCUCACAGCGGUGCAGUACCAGUUCCUAUAGUCCAGCUGGGGAACAGGUAUGAGGCCCUGGCGACAUUGGAGGUAGAGGAAGAAGAGGAGGAAACCUCUGGAGAGGAGGCCACUCCACGUACAGAACAGGUUGAAGGAGGCAAGUUGACCCGGAAGAAGAGACGCCGGGUGCUCAUUAUAGGUGACUCCAUCCUAAGAGGAACAGAGAGUCCCAUCUGUCGCCAGGAUCCCAUGUCACAUGAGGUCUACUGUCUGCCCGGAGUGAGGAUUCAGAAUGUGACAGAGAUGAUCCCAGCCAUUAUCCGGCCUACCGAUUACUACUCCAUGGUCCUAAUCCAUGCGGGCACUUAUGAUGCAGCCAGGAGCAGCCCUGAUUGCCUGAUGAAGGACUACCAAGCCCUGGGGAGCAAGCUGAAGGAGACAGGGGCACAGGUGGUCUUCUCAUCUGUCCUUCCAGUGAGCGGACAUGGACAACGCCAUGAGACCUGCAUCAGGGAGGUCAACUUGCGGCUUCGGAAAUGGGUGUCUCGAGGCAGGCUUCGGCUUUUUGGACCACAACCCAUACUUCAGGACAAGAGACAUGUUCAGGUGAGAUGGGCUUCACCUCUCCCCCAAAGGUAAGUGUGUGUUCUCUUUCAGGUUGGCUGAUCUCCUCUGGUGGGGUUUAAACUACACCCAUCAGGGGAAGGGGAAGAUGAGGAUAGAGGGAGCCACAGAACACCAAACCAAGAGACGCCCACAAGAACAGCCCAGCCAAGACAGGCGAUGAGCACAAGAAAUACCCAGGUAAGGGACAGGGGCCCAGAUAGUCCUGGGAUUAGGGGGGCGGUGCAUACACCUUCAGGAGGCUUUAAAUGCCUCUACCCUAAUGCUCGUAGUAUGGGGAACAAGCAGGAGAAACUUGCCCUCCUGCUAACUAACACAAACCUGCACAUAGUGGGACUCACUGAAACUUGGUGGGAUCCAGUGCAUGACUGGGCGGUAAACAUCAAGGGCUAUAGGCUAUACAGGAGAGACAGAACAGGGAGGAAAGGUGGGGGUGUGGUACUCUACGUCAAAGAGCAAUACACAUCUUCAACAAACAUCACUGGGUCAGAGAAGAGGCAGACUGAAGUGCUCUGGGUCCGAAUACAAGGGGGUCGGAGGGAAAGGGACUUAACGGUGGGGGUCUACUACAGACCACCCAACCAUGGGGAAGAGCUGGACCGGGAAUUCUCAGGUCAGCUCGCAGAGGCAGUUAAGUCAAGGGAUGUGGUCAUCAUGGGUGACCUAAACUAUACAGACAUAGUAUAUAGACAUACACUGGGAAGAGCAGUCAGCCAGGUCUGACCACUCACGUAGGUUCCUAGCCGAGUUACAGGACCUCCAUCUAACCCAGGAGGUGCACAGUCCCACCAAGGGAGACGCCUUGUUGGACCUGGUCCUGGCCAUGGGCGAUCACCUGGUGAGUGAAUUGCAGGUUCUCGACCACCUGGGUGAUAGUGAUCAUUGCCUACUGGAAUUCACCAUCCAGCGCAGGGUGUCAAAAGCCUGCAGCAAGGCAACAGCCCUAGACUUCAGGAAGGAGGAUUUCAAUGAGGUAAGGAGACUAGUCGGGGAGGCACUGAGGUCCUGGAGGGGAGGGGAGUUGGGAGUCCAGGAAGAGUGAUAGUUUUUAAAGAGACGAUCCUCCAAGCCCAGAAGGUGACAAUCCCAACGUGGAUCAAAGGGGGCAAGAGUGCUCAAAAACCCCCAUGGCUCACCAAAAGCAUCCAGGAACAUCUCAAGGCUAAAAAGGAGGCAUACACCCAAUGGAAGGGAGGGGCCAUCACCAAGGAGGAUUAUACCUCCAUUGCUCAAGACUGUAGGGGGGCUGUUAGGAUGGCUAAGGCAGAGACAGAACUGGGACUAGUGACCCAGAUCAAGGAUAACAAGAAGUCCUUUUUUAAAUACAUAGGGGGUAAAAAGAAGGUACUGGGUAACUUAGGGCCUCUGUAGGACACGCUAGGAAAUCUGGUGAUCACACCAAAUGACAAAGCUAACCUCUUUAACAAUUUCGCCUCCAUUUUUUUGAGCAGGGACCGCAGCAUCCCUGCCACUGGGCUCCCCGAUGGACCCAAGGGAGGCGUUGCCAGGCCCAGGGUCAGUGAGGACCUAGUCAGGGAACUUCUGGUGGGACUAGAUGUGUUCAAAUCAGCAGGUCCUGACGAUCUCCAUCCCAGAGUGCUGAGGGAAUUAGCAGAGGUCAUUGUGGGACCCCUGACUCAGCUUUAUGAGCACUCAUGGUGCUCUGGCGAGGUGCUGGAGGACUGGAAAAGGAACAAUGUGGUCCUCAUUUUCAAAAAAGGGAGGAAGGAGGACCCAGGAAACUACAAGCCCAUUAGUCUUACCUUGGUAUGGGAAAGCUCUUUGAGAAAAUUAUCCAGGAGCACAUCUGUGAGGGACCAGCAGGGGAGAUCAUGCUUAGGGGCAACCAACAUGGGUUCAUUUGAGGCAGAUCCUGUCAGAUCAACCCGGUAGCCUUCUAUGAUGAGGUCACAAAAUCCUUGGACUCAGGUGUCACGGUGGACGUAGUCUUUCUGGAUUUUAGGAAGGCCUUUGACACCAUCUCUCACCCCAUUCUCAUUUAAAAAUUAGGCGACUGUGGUGUUGAUGCCUACACAGUCAGAUGGGUCACAAAUUGGCUGGAGGGCCGCACCCAGAGAGUGGUGGUGGAUGGGUCUUCUUUGACCUGGAGGGAUGUGGUCAGUGGGGUCCCCCAGGGCUUGGUCCUCGGGACCGCACUGUUCAACAUCUUCAUCAGUGACUUGAUCGAGGGGGUGAAAAGCACCUUGUUCAAAUUCACAGAUGACACUAAGAUGUGGGGAGAAGUGGGCAUGCUGGAGGAGAGGGACAGGGUGCAACUAGAUCUGGACAGGUUACAGGGGUGGGCAGAUGAGAACAGGAUGGUUUUCAGUACUGACAAGUGCAAGGUACUGCACCUGGGGAGGAAGAACCAGCAGCAUACCUACAGGCUGGGGAACUCCCUUCUUGUCAACACAGAGGCAGAAAAGGAUCUUGGGGUCAUUAUUGAUGCCAAAAUGAACAUGGGCUGCCAAUGUGGGGACGCGGUCAGGAAGGCUAACCGCACCUUGUCAUGCAUCCACAGAUCCAUCAUGAGCAGGUCCAAGGAGGUGAUUCUCCCCCUCUAUGCGACAUUGGUCAGGCCACAGUUGGAGUACUGCGUCCUGUUCUGGGUGCCGCACUUCAGGAGGGAUGUGGACAGCAUCGAGAUGGUCCAGAGAAGGGCCACUCGCAUGAUCAGGGGGCAGCAGGGCAGGUCCUACGAGCGGAGGCUAAGGGACCUGAACCUGUUCAGCCUCCACAAGAGAAGGCUGAGAGGGGAUCUGGUGGCCAUCUACAAACUGGCCAAGGGGGACCAGCAGGCAAUGGGAGAGUCCCUGUUCCCCCAAGCAGUACCGGGAGUAACAAGGAAUAACGGCCAUAAGUUGAGUGAGAGUAGAUUCAGGCUAGAUAUCAGGAGGCGCUACUUCACAGUCAGGGUGACUAGGAUCUGAAACCAACUUCCAAGGGAAGUGGUGCUCGCUCCUACCCUGGAGGUCUUCAAAAGGAGGCUAGAUAUUCACCUAGCCAAGGUUGUUUGACCCCAGCAUUCUUUCCUGCCCAUGGCACGGGGUCAGACUUGCUGAUCUGCUUAGGUUCCUUCCAACCCUACCAGCUAUGAACCAACUAUGAACUAUUUCUAGAUCUGCAGGCUGUUUGAAUGAUAUUUUGCUUAUAACUAGUAUAUUACUCCUCUCUCUCUGGUUUUGGCUACCAUAAUAUUUCGGGCCCCCAAAAAAAAACCAACCUUGCCUGUUCAUGCUGAUAUCAAAAUCCUACUUCAAACAUUAAUUAUAAAUUAUCAUACAUAUUUUUGACAGAAUCAGUCUUGGAUCUGAGAGAACAAUGGCUGAUUUACAGCCAUUUCCUUCCUGUGGUCAGCACUCCCACAAUACUAGUCUGUUUUCAGUCGGGACAUGAGCUCUGCCUACAGUGUAAGAGACAAACAGUUGAAAAUUCAACACUUCAAAGGUGUUCUGAGACAGAGGCCUUGGUUUAGGAGUUUCGGAAGUUGGAGAGCAGGUUUGGGGACUAAUAUGAACAUAACAUCAUCAAGCAAGAAAACAAAUACAACCAAGAGAAGUGCAUGCAAAUCCAUCUGCUCCUGGAAGUGCCAUUUAGAGCAUUGGUACCUUUAUACAACUUACAAUUUUGGAAGGUAAAGCCAGUACACACAAGACUGGACUCACCUCACUACUGAAGCCACAUCUGGAGUACUGUGUCCAGUUUUGGGGCCCCCCUCUAUGGAAAGGAUGUGGGCAAAUUGAAGAGAGUCCAGGAGAGAGCAACACAAAUGGGAAAACCAGGAUCCAUGCUUAUGAGAUGAGAGACAAAGAGGAGAUUUAAUAGCAGCCUUCAACUACCUGAAGGGUGGUUACGAAGAGGAUGGAGCUAAACUGUUCUCCAUGGUAGCAGAUAACAAAACAAGGAGCAAUUUUCUCAAGUUGCAGCAAGGGAGGUUUAGGUUGGAUAUUAGGAAAAACUCUCUCACUCAGAGGGUGGUGAAGCACUGGAAUGGAUUAUCUAGAGAGGUGGUGGAAUCUCCAUCCUUGGAGGUUUUUAAGGGCUGGCUCAACAAAUCCCUAGGUGGAAUGAUCUAGCUGGGGGUUGUCCUGGUUUAACCAGGGGCUGGGCUAGAUUACCUUCUGAAGUCAUUCUAACACUAAUUUUUUAUGAUUCUGUUUGUCUGGAAUAGUUUAGAAAGGGAUCAAUCUACCUGGAGCAGGGGGUGGAAUAAGUGACCUCCUGAGGUCCCCUCCCAUCUUGUAUUUCUAUUGUUCCGGGUAUGAUAGCAUGUUCUUGGCUAUGGAACUGCUGGGACAUAACCAUCACCACUACUUUGUGAAGCACUGUGAAACCAGCUGGGUAAGUAUUGUAAUGGGAGAUGUCAUUUAUGUGAUACAAAUCCACACAAAAUCAGAUGGCCCUCUGGUUUUGGCAGCUGGGUUACCAAGUUAUGGGAGGGGCUAUGGAAUUCCUCAGUCACCACCAAUUUAAGUAUCUCUUACCAGAACCCUUUUUCAUUCCUUCUGGCAUCUGAUAGGAUUUCUGAAUGGGUUUGCUGCCUGGUUGUACCCACUGUCAUCCACCAGAUCUGGAGGUCCACCUCAAUAUGAGAGAGAGCAUGCUGUUGGUUGCCAGUUUGUUCUUGCUUUUAACUAGUGAGCCCCUCUACAAGUGGUACCUCCUACAAGCUCACUGCUUUGGGUAUCUCAGGCACCAGAUCUUCUUCCCUGGGAGUGAAGAGAGCUUGCUGUACCCUUCAAACCUGUUUUAAGUUUACAUAGUAUAAUCAUAGAUCUUCUGGGUUAUUAAGCCUGGUGUCCUGCAUUUGCAUUCACAUACCAAAGGAAACCCCAGAUUGCCAAUUCAAAUCCUCAAACACAACUACAAGACAUUGUAGCACAGGGGCAGAGGGCCACAUAGGCCUGUGGGCCAUGUAGGCAGUUCUGGGGAACUGUUACAGGCUGGUCAGCAACCCCUAUCCCACCCCCCACUACAGCCCAGAGCCUGAACACCUGGCAGCUCUUCCCCACGAUCACCACCAGUGCACCAAGCAGCAGAUGAGCACACAGCCCCAGUCCUGGCUGACCCCGCACCCACUCCAGACUUGCCCUGGCCAGAGUGGCACAGCUGUGGACCAGCUGGGAUCUGUGCACACAACCCCAACCCUGGCCUUUCCUUCACCUGCUCCAGACCGCCCACCCACACUGAGCAGCAGCAGCAAUUGGGUAGUAGCUGCUGCUGAGAAUGGGGGAAGAGUGGCCGCUUCUCCCUCACUGCUGCUGGGCCCUUCUUGCUGCAGCUGCCUGAAGCCCAUGCCCUGGCUGCCCUGCAGCUCUUCUCCACUACCUCUAGGCC